ensembl:snoRNA U3 Small nucleolar RNA U3
AAGACUAUGCUUUCAGAGGUCAUUUCUAUAGUUUGGUACUAGAGAAGUUUCUUUGAAUGUAGAGUACCUGAAACCAUGAGGAGGUGGCACAGUGUUCUCUCCUCAGCAUGAAGCUGGCUUUAGGUGUUGCUUCCUCAACUGUCUAUUGCCAUUGAUGAUUGUUCUUCUCCUCCUUCUGGGGAGUAAGAGGACACAGUCUGAGUGGA